UUUCUCAUACCAGCACUAAUGCACCGAAUUUCAUCAGAACUCCGUAGUUAAGCGUGCUUGGGCGAGAGUAGUACUAGGAUGAGUGACCCCUUAGAAAGUCCUCGUGUUGCACCCC